CAAUAGGCGUCAUCGCAGACAUCCUGGCGCCACCUGUGACACCAGCUCUGCCCACUCAAACCAGCCCAGCCAAUCAGAUGCCAAGCAUGCUUCUGCCUGUCAAUCAAAGCACACCUGGAAUAUCACUCAUAUCAGGUGAGUGUGAUACAAAUACGGUUAGGACAUAUUUGUGUGGGUGUUAGCUGCAAUGACACACUCGUUGUGAUACUGAUUUCAAUUUAAAUGUUUUCCUGUUUUGUUUAGGUUAUUUAAAUUGUAACAUCAGCCAACUCUGCUCAAACAACAGUAAGAGACAAUCAACAUUUGGCCCAUCACAGUUUCACAUUCAAGCACAUCUGGUCUUUUUUGUGACGUUGUAUGUUCAUACAGCUGCCUACUUUUGGAUGUCCAUAAGUGUGCAAGUCAGCGGGGGCAACGGGAUCGACCAAUCCGUUGUGAGAGAUCUGGUGAGAGUGGAAUCUUUCCCCGGUUUCCUCGUCUGACUUCACGCAUUUCAUAACUUCAAAUGUCAAAAACGGGUUUUGCCAGCAGAGGAUUAGUUUGUAGGCGCAGCAGCGAAUUCCUUCUGAAAUUGCAGCACAUUCCAGACAUGUGAUGCAGCUGAUAUUAUUUGGACUUAAAAGGCCCUGAGUUCUUUGAUGUUUACUUGUAAAAUGGAUGCGAGAUCAGUGUCAGUGUUGUUAAGAUUGAAUGGUCUUGAUUUAAUGAAUGCGAUGGCAGUGCAGCUCCAGUUUCAGUUGGCAGAUAUCGACUAAGAACUUGUAACAAAGCCAGUGCAUGUUGAAGCUGGACAGGACAAUCACCCUCCUCUCAUCGCAUCCUCCACACUAUUUGCAUCCAUCCAUCUGUGCCUCUCAAUCUUUCACACAGGUGUCCAGUGCGUUUGACUGCACAAAGUGGCUGGCAGGCUUCUGCCAGGGGGGCAACCAGCCUCAGAUAGUGGAGGUGACCUGUGCGGUGAACACCAGCAUAAGGAACACGACCUGCAGCGUGCUGUUGAUGCUCAGCCGCGCCGUCUCGCCCUGCGAACUGCAAGUGGCUGGACAGUCUGCACUGCAGCGGUCACAGACGAUACAAGUCGCCAUCGUAGGAGUAGUGGAGCGAGUCGGUGAGCGCCGGACAGUCAGAGGUUGAAGCUAGUGGAGCCUAAACGCCCCCCUCCGAGGCUCACAAGCUGUUAGAGUCACAGUAUAGUCACAUAAAGUCACUUUUGCAUACAAGCUUAGCCCUAAACAGACACAUUAUAUAAUAGAUAUAGAUAUACCUGUUACAUGCAAAACAGCAAC
rnacentral:lncRNA from 1 species